AGGACGAACGCUGGCGGCGUGCUUAACACAUGCAAGUCGAACGGUAAGGCCCUUCGGGGUACACGAGUGGCGAACGGGUGAGUAACGCGUGAGUAACCUGCCCUUCACUCUGGGAUAACAGUUGGAAACGGCUGCUAAUACCGGAUAUUCAGCUCCUGUCGCAUGGUGGGGGUUGGAAAGUUUUGGUGGUGGAGGAUGGGCUCGCGUCCUAUCAGCUUGUUGGUGGGGUGAUGGCCUACCAAGGCGUCACGGGUAGCCCGCCUGAGAGGGCGACCGGCCCCAUUGGGGACUGAAUACGCCCAACUCCUACGGGAGGCAGCAGUGGGGAAUAUUGCACAAUGGCGGAACUGAUGCAGCACCCCGCGUGCGGGAUGACGCCUUCGGGUUGUAAACCGCUUUCAGCAGGGACGAAGCGUGAGUGACGGUACCUGCAGAAGAAGCACCGGCUAACUACGUGCCAGCAGCCGCGGUGAUACGUAGGGUGCGAGCGUUGUCCGGAUUUAUUGGGCGUAAAGAGCUUGUAGGCGGUUGGUUGCGUCGAAAGUGCAAACUCAGGGCUUAACUCUGAGCCUGCUUUCGAUACGGGCUGACUGGAGGAAGGUAGGGGAGAAUGGAAUUCCCGGUGGAGCGGUGGAAUGCGCAGAUAUCGGGAGGAACACCAGUGGCGAAGGCGGUUCUCUGGACCUUUCCUGACGCUGAGAAGCGAAAGCGUGGGGAGCAAACAGGCUUAGAUACCCUGGUAGUCCACGCUGUAAACGGUGGGUACUAGUGUGGGGGACAUUCCACGUUCUCUGUGCCGUAGCUAACGCCAUAAUACCCCGCUGGGAUACGCCCAGGCUUAAACUCAAGUAAUUGACGGCCCGCCAAGCGGCGAGCAUGCGGGAUAUCGAUGCAACGCGCGAGACUUACCUGGGUUUGACAUAUAUCGGAACGUUCAGAGAUGGGCGCCCCGUAAGGUCGGUAUACAGGUGGUGCAUGGCUGUCGUCAGCUCGUCGUGAGAUGUUGGGUUAAGUCCCGCAACGAGCGCAACCCUCGUCCAAUGUUGCCAGCGGGUUAUGCCGGGGACUCAUUGGAGACCGCCGGGGUCAACUCGGAGGAAGGUGGGGAUGACGUCAAGUCAUCAUGCCCCUAUGUCCAGGGCUUCACGCAUGCUACAAUGGCCGGUACAAAGAGUUGCGAGCCUGUGAAGGUGAGCGAAUCUCAAAAAGCCGGUCUCAGUUCGGAUUGGGGUCUGCAACUCGACCCCAUGAAGUCGGAGUCGCUAGUAAUCGCAGAUCAGCAACGCUGCGGUGAAUACGUUCCGGGGCUUGUACACACCGCCCGUCAAGUCAUGAAAGUCGGUAACACCCGAAGCCGGUGGCCUAACCCGUUUGGGGGGGAGCUGUCGAAGGUGGGACUGGUAAUUAGG
rnacentral:rRNA from 1 species